AAAGUUUUUGGGCCUUGUGUGGCUAUUUGUUCGACUUGACGUUGUCAGGUAUUUAAGUGGGGGAGUUUGUAACACCCCGGUCCACAUCGUAACAUGUAAGAUAUUUUGACAUAAGGAUCAUGCUACAAUCAUUAAUAUCUUCAAUCAUUUGACCCGGGUUGUUACAUUCUUCCUUGUAGUUGGUUAGUUUCAAAUAUGUGAUAUGUGUUUGUUAAAGUCAGGGAUAUGCCAGUUUAUUAAAGUCAGGUUCAUGCCAUUGCUCAAUGUUGAUGUAAGAAUUUGAAUUUGAUGGCUAUAUUGUCGAUUUGUUAUAGGAAAUGAAUUUUGUGCCUCAUAUUCAAUUGAGUAAGAAAACUUGAUGUGGGGAAACUUGGUGUUAAAUUUUACAGAAACUGGCAUUCAUUUUUGUGCUUAUAUAGACUCAGUGUAACACCUUAGUCUCACAUCAAAAUAUAUGGGAAAAAAUUGUCUAUAUAUAAGGAAUUAAGUUACUAACAAUAGUACAUUUAGUCAUAACUUUUUGGGUGAGCUUGUGGUGGGCUAAGAUGACUCAAGAAGAUACUAUUGUGUUGUGGUUUAAGGCCUUGUUUGAAUGAAUUUGAUUUGAUUCGGACUUGAGAUUUGACUCUUGGGAUUUGACGGGUUGUUUUGUAUGGUAUUAGAGCCGAUUCUCGAAAGCUCGGUUUGGGUCAUCCGAUCGGGUUGCCGGAGGUAGAGAUACGUAGGCUGGUGGUAUUAUCCCAUUGCAUAAUGGAGGUCCAGAGGUGGGAAUACAAAGUCGGACUGUGUGUGUAAUCGGUUCUGACGGGGACGUUAAAAAUGUACGUGGGAGAGUUUGUAACACCCAGACCCACAUCGAAAGAUAUGACCCAAGAUUUGUUCUGAAUUCAAGAUUUGAUCCAGAUUGUUUCACACAGCAACUUUA
rnacentral:lncRNA from 1 species